UGAGGAAUAUUGCGCAAUGGACGAAAGUCUGACGCAGCAACGCCGCGUGGGCGAAGAAGGCCUUCGGGUUGUAAAGCCCUUUUCUGAGGGACGAGAGAGGACGGUACCUCAGGAAUAAGUCUCGGCUAACUACGUGCCAGCAGCCGCGGUAAAACGUAGGAGGCGAGCGUUAUCCGGAUUUAUUGGGCGUAAAGCGCGUGCAGGUGGUAUCGUAAGUCGGAUGUGAAAGCCUCUGGCUCAACUGGAGGAUGUCGUUCGAUACUGCGGAACUUGAGGUCGGGAGAGGGAAGCGGAAUUCCCGGUGUAGUGGUGGAAUGCGUAGAUAUCGGGAGGAACACCAGUGGCGAAGGCGGCUUCCUGGCCCGCACCUGACACUAAGACGCGAAAGCGUGGGGAGCGAACGG
rnacentral:rRNA from 1 species